AAGGCUACACUUUCAGGGAUCAUUCCUAUAGUUCGUGACUAGAGAAGUUUAUCUGAAUGUGUGGAGCACCAGAAACCACGAGGAGAAGCAUAGCAUUCACUCCUGAGUGUAAAGGUGGCUUUUGGGAUGCUUGACUGUGGCUGCCAUUGGUCACUGAUGGUCAUUCUUCUCUUCCCCUGGAAGAGCAGAGGAUGCAGUCUAAGUGGG
rnacentral:snoRNA from 1 species